AAACCUAACUCUCUAUUUCUUUUCUUCCUCUACCGCACACGACGUUCAACCCUAGCUGCCUCCACCAUUUCUGAAACAGCAGCCAAACCUCCAUUGUCGCCUCCCUCUGCAACAUUUCUGAAACUGCGGGCACUCCAUUAUCGCCUCCCUCUGCAACAUUUCCGAAACUGCAGGCAAAUCUCCACCACUGAAACGAAAAGGCACAGUCAACUUCUUCCUUGUUUUCUAUUCCAUUUACCAUGGCAAGAACACGAUCCCAGCGACCAACCUCUGAAACCGAAGGCACCUCCAACACUCAUGGCAUUCCAGCGGCUCAGGCAGAUGCUACCCCGUUCGUUGAUGGUUGCCCAACUCAGGUUGUUCCGGCUCCGCCACCCACAGCCCCACCACCUGUGUAUGAGAAUCCAUAUUUUAUUUCCCAUGUCAAUCAACCAGGUGUGAUUUUGGUCUCUAGCAUUCUAAAAGGCAGUUGCAACUACAGUUCUUGGGUUUGAUCUAUCACGAUUUCUCUUGUGGCCAAGAACAAGAUGGGAUUUCUCCUUGAUACGAUCCCAAGUCCUCCAGUCAACGACCCAAACUACAAUUCUUGGACUCGUUGGACUCGCUGUAAUUCAAUGGUUAUGGGCUGGAUCAACAAUUUUGUCCCACCUCCAAUUGCUGCAAGCAUUCUAUACCAGGAUCGAGCUGCAAUGUGGCAGGAUCUUCACGAUCAGUACUACCAAAGCAAGGGUCCUCGGAUUUACCAACUGAAGCAAUCCAUGGCUAACAUCAAGCAAGGUGACCUUGAUAUUGGCACAUAUUUUGCAAAUUUGCAAACUCUCUCUGUGAUGAACUAAGUAUGUUUAGGCCACUUACUAAUGGAGCUUUUUCUUCUUAUGGGUUGUUUCUUCUCAUGGGUUUAACUGAAUCAUAUAUGCCCAAAUUCGCUCCAACAUUAUGAUGAUGGAGCCUCUUCCUCCCAUCAACAAAUUUUUUUCUCUAAUUGUCCAAGAGGAAAAACAAAGACCGUUAUCCAACUUUCAGUUGCCCAUUGUUGCCCAUGUUCAUACAAAUAGAACUUUUGGGAAGAAACCCCUACUGUGUUCCCACUAUGGUCUCCAAAACCAUGCCCGUGAUCGUUGCUACGAGCUCCACGGUCUCCCCCUGGUUGGAAUCCCAAGCCUCAUGACCCGAAUGCUUCUUGGACUGCCAACAAACCUGAUUUUCCAUCCCAGUCUCAUCUGAAACAAGGAGUAGCUGCUGCUAUCUCAAAUGAGCUAUCCUCAUCAAGCUUCACACCUGAACAGUGCUAACAACUCCUCACAUACCUUGCAACUCAGAUGCAAUCUCGCCAUUCUGAGGCAUCCGCUUCACAAGUGUCUGCUGCUGACCAUGAUCCUUCUCUACUAGAAACAAAAACCUCACAAAGGCAACGAAACCCUUUCGGCAUUGACAACAUCACCAAUGUAGUGAUCACUAGAACAGGGAGAUCUUCUAAACCUCCCUCCUUUUUACAGCAAUAUCACUAUUAUAAUAGUUUAGCAUCUACCAAAUCUUCUACUAAAUAUCAUUUAUCUGGCUAUCUUGAUUAUUCUAAAUUGCAUCAUUCAUUUCAUACAAUUAUUUGCAAUGCUAGCUCUAUAAGUGAACCCACAUCUUACAAGACAGCUAGACUUUCCAUAGAAUGGAUCAAUGCAUGAGUGAAGAACUAAAUGCUUUAAACAAUAACAACACUUGGACCAUAGUUGACUUUCCCACUGCACAUAAACCGAUAGGAUGUAAAUUGAUUUAUUAACUUAAAAAGAAUUCCAAAGGUAUUGUUGAAAGAUAUAAAAUUAGGUUAGUUGCUAAAGGCUAUACUCAACAAGAAGGAGUGAAUUAUUGACACAUUUGCCACUGUUGCUAAAAUGGUCACUGUUAAACUUUUGUUAGCUAUUGCAACCCAUUAUGGUUGGCAUUUACACCAAAUAAAUGUAAAUAAUUCUUUUUUGAAUGGUGAUCUUGAUGAAGAGAUUUACAUGUCUCUACCUCAAGGAUACACACUUAAGGGGGAGCACACUAAUUUCCAAAAACUAGUUUGUAAACUUAACAAAAGUCUAUAUGGCCUUAAGCAAGCCUCUAGAGAAUGGAAUACUAAACUCACUACUUUCUUACUUGCCUGUGAUUUUCAGCACUCAUAUACUGAUUAUUCAUUGUUCAUCAAGCAUGAUGACACAUUUUUUGGCUCUAUUAAUCUAUGUUGAUGAUGUUAUGAUUGUAAGCAAAUUCUACACAUGCCAUAAACACUCUUAUUCUCUACUUAUCAACUCGUUUUCAAUUAAAAGAUCUUGUUGAACUAAUAUUUUUUCUUGGUCUUGAAAUUGCUAGGAAUAACAAAGAUCUUUUCCUAUCUCAAUGAGGAUAUGCUCUUCAAAUCCUUGAAGACAGUGGCACACUUGGAUGCAAAACAACAUCUUCACCAAUGGAUGUCAACCUUAAGUUAUCCGCUGAAGACGGUGAAGUACUUGAGGACCCAAAAGCUUAUAAAAGACUCAUUGGCUGCCUUAUUUACUUAACCAUUACACAACCUGAUCUAUCAUUUGUCAUCUGUUGAUGCGUUUCUUCGGCAACAGAUAAUUAUACGAACAAACGGGAUGGAUUAGGGCUAGAUGAUGAACCGUAAUAUAUAAUUAUUUAUAUUCCAAACUAGUGAAAAUAGUAUAGGGGAAAUGUUAUAACUCUUUUCCUUUUAGGUGGUUCGAAAGUUAAAAUCCCUCUAGUCCACCAGUCAAUAUUAUUAAUAUCUCUCUAGUAUUCCUUACAGGGUGUUUCUUUACAAACUAGACGCCAACCCCUUGCAACGCCCAGGGUCUCCAUAUUUAUAGUGAGAGGACACCUGAGUGUUGGCAAAGGGGGUCAUCCCGUGACCUUAUUACCCAUCAUGUCACUUCUGUGACACUUAUGAUUAAUUCCUAAAACCUGACAAUAAAGUGUUGUCUAAUCAAUAGGUAAGGGGGAUAAUGGGUUGCAUGGCCCAAACCAGUCGUUGGGUGCCUGAACACGCACGUUUAUGCUGCGUGUCCGAGAAUUCAGGAAUGGAGUAGACACAUGAUGUCUGAUAUGCGCACGUUUACAUUGCGUGGUUGACUUCAUGAAUGGUCGGGGAUGUUAGCUCUAUGUCGUACCUCGAGCUUGAUGUAGUUCCAGCUCGUGGUGUCCACACUGCUGACCCGAUGCCUUCGAGUCUUCUUACUAAACCUUUGACUACCUCGAGCUAAAGAGGUGGAGACUCGUAACUACAGCUCCGGGUAGGUGGCUUUCACGUGGCAGAUAGAAUUAUGUCAUUUUCCAGCUCGCUAAUAACCCGUGGAUAUUUAGGGCGUACAUUUGCCCCCUAAGCUCCUGCUCGUGGCACGUGACGUCACCUGGGGCCACAGCAGGGACUUUUAGGCUUCCUUGUCGACUCUUCAUGUCCCGCCUAUUGCGCUGGUACCGGAUACGUGGAGCAUCGUGGUUGGUGAAGGUCCGUCUUCCGAGAAUCGCAUUAAAUGGCCUAGUCUGUCUUCGGCCGUCGUUUCGUCUUUCGAGUUGCGACCCUCGUAUCCUGCAUUAAGAUGAUCGAAUGGCACUCGUUUCUUUGCCUUUUACGUACAUAUAAGGUUGGCCACUUUUCGCAUGAGCCACCCUUUAUUUGGAAAUUUUCCUCAUCUUCCAUUUUCUCUCUUCUCAGCCUCAAAACCCUUUUUUCUUCCGGUUACUGUUCCAGAAGUCCCUGAGUUUCAGACACAAAGGUUUCUCCGUGACUCCGGUUCUAAAGGCUCCACCAGGAUUCCUACUUCUACACCAUUUUCGACUUUCAUAUAGCAAAGACUUAUGUAAGUCCUCUGCUUGCUGCAUGUUCAAAUGUUUCCGUUUUUUUGUUUGUUUAGGUAGACUCCUUUUUUAGUUGCACACUGUAGGUUGUUUGCUGUUUUUUUUUACUCUAGGGGUAUCAACCAUAGGAAGGAAUGCUUAGGAAUAUAACGCAUAUGACAAGAUAAUUCUGGGGGGAUUUUUCUGGGUAAUCUCUUGAAAUGUCUAUUUGGAGAGGGGAAGGCAACAAGUUUCUGGGGUGCAAAACUGGGUAGUUUAGGGGCCACGCUUCCCAGGCGAUUUUUGCUUUUUGAAACUUUCCCUCCAAGGCAAGCAUUAUCCUGACCCUCCUGACACACGGAUCCCGAGUGAUCGGGGACCCGUUGGGAGCACAGGUGCGUGUUCAUAGAACUGCGUGGCCUCACUCACCGCGGGUUGAGAUUACCUCAGCUCGUGUAAGGAAAAUCAUUCCUCGCGCUAGAUUCCCUUUCUUAUGCUUAGGUCGUCUUUCUAAAUUUUCUUCAUCUUUAUUCGUUAGGCGACCAGAUGGGACCCAGGAAGAACAUGCCCAAGAAGAGUGUCGCCAGCUCGUCGUCCCAGCAAGCCAGCAAGGGGAAGGAGGUGGCAGCAGAUUCCCUUAUCCCCCUCUUUGGUCCCACCGUGGAGAAAGAGGUCGAGGUGGGACCUGAUGCCUUCUUCAAGGCCGAGAGGAUUGUCUCGAAGGUUACAACUCAGGGGAAGGUCAACAAGAUCUUGUUGUCCAACAACAUUGAAAUAGGGACGGGAGCUCUUGUUGCCCGACCUCCCCUCGAGGGCGAGCAGAGCUGCACACCGCUCGACGAGGAGUUCGCGGCCUGGAGCGACGAACAUCUUAAGGCCAGGGCCUUUCUUCCUCUGGACCAGUACUUCGCGGACUUCUUGAACUUCGUGAAGCUGGCCCCCAUUCAGCUCCCUCCUAACUUCUAUCGUCUAUUAACGGGGCUGAGGUACCUAUUCCUGAAGCAGGAAUGGGAGGUCCCUACACCGGCGGACAUUCUCUACUUUUUCUACCUCACAGCCAGCCCGGACCAACGAGGGCGAGACGACGAGUUCUAUUACUUGACCCGUUUCCCCAACUCCGCUGCAGUCAUCGAGCUGCCUAGCCACCCCAACGACUUCAAGGACUAGUUCUUCAUGUCGAUGGGGUUCUGCAACUGCGAACAUCAUUACUUCAACCGUCCUCGUAAGUUCUUUCUAUCCUCAGCUCGCAAAAUCGCUGUUGACUUGUUCCUUUCCAUGCGUAUUGACUAGAAUACUAUCGUGGAGCUAUUUUUGCGAGGACGGCUAAAUCGAUGACCAUCGGGGGUGAAUAUGAGACCUUGGCGGGGCUUCCUCCAAGCGAAAAAGACUACCGCCAGCUCGUGUCUGAUGAGACGAUGCUGGCGUGUAAGUUAAUUUCUCUGGGCUAGACUCUAGCCUUGAGGAGGCUGCAGAUCGCCCCAGCAGCUCGCGAGAAGGCACCCAUCCCCGAGGAGGGGGCCGCGAAUGAUGACGAGGAAGACAAGGUGCCGCUCGUGUGUUGGAAGCAGGCUCUUGAGGUCGCCCAAGGGGUCAACGCGGAGUGGGUCCAGUCUGGGGCAGCAGCCGGUCCCUCCGGCCAAGGUAACCCAUACUUGUUUAGGGAUUUAGACAGAGCUGCUGCAGACCUACGGCUUGCUAGGUUUAACCCCAACCUACUCGUUCACCGUCACCGAAACGACCCAGAUCGUAACAAAACUCUACUCCAGUGCGUUGACCAGCUAGUGUUGCCUCAUGACAUCGGCCGCCCUAGGGGCACUGUAGUAGUAGACAAUACCCUGGCCUUUAGGUCAGCCUUCUUUGAGGAGUAUGGGACCAACCUUAGGUCGUGGCCCUCCUUUCUGGAGGGUAUAGUAGCUCUGGGGCUUAGGCAGUAUGUAGAGGAGUCCAAUCCUGAGGCGGAUCCGAACCCAGAGCCCCCUCUCAUUCGCGAAGUUAUAAUCUUAGACUCCCCCGUAGAAGCUCCGCGGCCGGAGGUCGUGAAAAUAGAUUCCUCCUCUAUCUCGGAGGGUAGGACCUUUUUCAAUACAUUCUUUAGAUUUUGUUAUCAAAUAUUUUUACAUGCAUACUGAUCCUCCGUUCUUUGUUUCAGGCGAGGAGAUGUCACAGCCCGGGGACAACGUUCUGCGAUCCAUGUUCCAGGGGGAAACCCUUCCUCCAAGUCGUCUGGACCCUUGGUGAAGAGGCUCCGGCUCACCAAGAAAACUCCCCCUCCCGGGACCACUUCCAAGUCUCCUGCCAAGGGGAAGGGCCAAGGUCCUUCCGCCCUAGAGAAGGUGCCUCCACCCCCUCCUGCCAUAAAGAAGAUGGCUCCACCUCCCCUGCGACCUCCUGUCUCUAACCGGGAACUGGAGGUACCAACCGGGACCUUGCCAGCUCCGGUUCCCACCGUGCACAUCCCAGUAAACACUCGGGCCCUGGAGAAAAUCCCUGAGGCCUUUCGAGGGACAGUUUAUGAAACCGUGACCUAUAUGGUGGAUCACUGCUAUAAUGCCACCCUAAGGGAUCUACGGGAGAUCGAGACGAGGAGCCCCGAGAACAUUAUGGAGUCUUCACUAGGGAUGACCCUCGUGGCGGCUUUGGCUCUCCACCCGUGCAUAUCUCGGUCCAAGGCCAGGAUUGACGAGAUCAAGGGCAAGCACCAGGCUGCCCAGGCCACCCUCGUGUCUGCUUAACAACAAGAGCAGGAUGCCAAAGCUGCCCUGGCGACUGCCCGGGAAAGCGAGAAGGUCGCGCAGGCCGAACUGGAGGCAUCCCGGGCUAAGCUGCUGGAGGCCAAGGCUACCAAGGUCACCCUGGACGCCGCGAAGGUCAAACUUGAAGAGGCCAAGGCCGCCCUUGUAGCGGAGAGGGCAUCUUCCAGCUCCUCCAUGGAGGUCAUGCUGUAUCAUUGCUGGGCCUUCAACCAGGAUGGUGACUUUUUCUUCCUGGGGCUGGAGGUGUGGGAGUCCUUCCUAGAGAAGUUCAAAGAUCGCCUUCAACAAGAGGUGCCCUCUGAGACCAGAGAGACUUCUAUUGCUGCCGAGUAGGACGUGGAAGGGGUGACUUCGUCGGAGCGGCCUGGCGGUGCUUAGGACUUCUGCUCCUUUUCUCUUAUUUUUUAUUUGUAAUUUUGUAUUACGAGUUUUUUUUUAUCCUUAAGACAAUUGGUUUCCUUAGAUUUACUUUAAUCUAUUUAUAUAUUUUUUGUGGUUUAA